rnacentral:rRNA from 1 species
AUUGAACGCUGGCGGCAGGCUUAACACAUGCAAGUCGAGCGGGGUGAUGGUGCUUGCACUAUCACUUAGCGGCGGACGGGUGAGUAAUGCUUAGGAAUCUGCCUAUUAGUGGGGGACAACAUCUCGAAAGGGAUGCUAAUACCGCAUACGUCCUACGGGAGAAAGCAGGGGAUCACUUGUGACAUUGCGCUAAUAGAUGAGCCUAAGUCGGAUUAGCUAGUUGGUGGGGUAAAGGCCUACCAAGGUGACGAUCUGUAGCGGGUCUGAGAGGAAGAUGCGCCACACUGGGACUGAGAAACGGCCCAGAGUCCUACGGGAGGCAGCAGGGGGGAAUAUUGGACAAUGGGGGGAACCCUGAUCCAGCCAUGCCGCGUGUGUGAAGAAGGCCUUAUGGUUGUAAAGCACUUUAAGCGAGGAGGAGGCUCUUUUGGUUAAUACCCAAGAUGAGUGGACGUUACUCGCAGAAUAAGCACCGGCUAACUCUGUGCCAGCAGCCGCCGUAA